GUUUGAUCUUGGCUCCGGACGAACGCUGGCGGCAUGCCUAACACAUGCAAGUCGAACGGAGAAUGUCAAAUGAAGUUUUCGGAUGGAUUUUGACAUUCUUAGUGGCGGACGGGUGAGUAACGCGUGAGCAACCUGCCUUUCAGUGGGGGACAACAGUUGGAAACGACUGCUAAUACCGCAUAAUGUGUACGGAUCGCAUGGUCUGUACACCAAAGAUUAUAUCGCUGAAAGAUGGGCUCGCGUAUGAUUAGAUAGUUGGUGAGGUAACGGCUCACCAAGUCGACGAUCAUUAGCCGGACUGAGAGGUUGAACGGCCACAUUGGGAUUGAGACACGGCCCAGACUCCUACGGGAGGCAGCAGUGAGGAAUAUUGGGCAAUGGGCGCAAGCCUGACCCAGCAAUGCCGCGUGAAGGAUGAAGGUUUUCGGAUUGUAAACUUCUUUUGUCAAGGACGAUAAUGACGGUACUUGACGAAUAAGCCACGGCUAACUACGUGCCACAGCCGCGGUAAUACGUAGGUGGCAAGCGUCGUCCGGAUUUACUGGGUGUAAAGGGCGAGUAGCGGUUCUGCAUCAAGGUGAAAGGGGGGGCUCAACCCCAACUGCUUUGAACGAGAAUUGAAGA
rnacentral:rRNA from 1 species